ACACAUACUCGACCCGAACAUUCUUUUGUUGUUCAACUACUUAGCCAGUAUAUCCAGGAUCCUCGUCAUCCCCAUCUUGAUGUAGCUUUCCAUUCCAUGCGCUAUCUACUCACUAAUCCAGGCCUUGCCCUUUUCAUGUCAUCAUAUCCCUCUCUGAAUUUGUGUGCUUUAUGUGAUUCUGAUUGGGGUACAUGCCCUAGCACAAGAAGAUCAAUCAGUGGUUUCUUAUCAAUCUUAGUGGAUCUUCAAUUUUGUUGAAAUCAAAGAAACAAACUUCAGUCUCUUUAUCUUUCGCAGAAGUCGAAUACAGAUAGAUGAGCUGAGUAGUUUUAGAAAUUACCUGAUUGGUCUGAAUUCUUUUCGAUCUUGCUGCUCCUCCUUCACUUUUGGUCUUUG
rnacentral:lncRNA from 1 species